rnacentral:rRNA from 1 species
ACAGAGGGGGCAAGCGUUGUUCGGAAUUACUGGGCGUAAAGGGCGCGUAGGCGGCCUGCUAAGUCGAACGUGAAAUCCCCGAGCUCAACUCGGGAACUGCGUCCGAUACUGGUUGGCUUGAAUCCGGGAGAGGGAUGCGGAAUUCCAGGUGUAGCGGUGAAAUGCGUAGAGAUCGGGAGGAAGGCCGGUGGCGAAGGCGGCGCUCUGGAACGUAUCUGACGCUGAGACACGAAAGCGUGGGGAGCAAACAGGA